UACGAAGGGGGCUAGCGUUGCUCGGAAUUACUGGGCGUAAAGGGAGCGUAGGCGGACAGUUUAGUCAGAGGUGAAAGCCCAGGGCUCAACCUUGGAAUUGCCUUUGAUACUGACUGUCUAGAGUAUGGGAGAGGUGUGUGGAACUCCGAGUGUAGAGGUGAAAUUCGUAGAUAUUCGGAAGAACACCAGUGGCGAAGGCGACGCACUGGCCCAUUACUGACGCUGAGGCUCGAAAGCGUGGGGAGCAAACAGG
rnacentral:rRNA from 1 species